rnacentral:lncRNA from 1 species
GAGUUUAUUACAGAUAUUUUGUUCUUGACCUUUGACACUUGCCAUUUAGCAAUUGCAUGGUUUUACUUUUGUGGUUGUAGAGUUUCUGUUUUUCUUUCAUUAGAAUGAUGUAAGUAGAGGAAUAGAAACUGUUAUAUUUGCAAAAAAAGAGCAAAGAUGCUUUGUGACCUUGGGAAUUAUAUUUGAAGGUUACUCACAAGAGAAUACCUUGUUUAGGAAAGAUGGUUAAUUUUUUUCUUGCAAGCAGACUUUUUUACAAAAUUAGUUAAUGGCAAAUGUGUUCUUUGCUGAAUAUUAAUCUAUAGUAUCAUUUAAGAUGUUCUUAAUUUAUGUUUCUGGACUUUGUUUAAAUGUCAAACUCUAGAAAGGGUAAACUAGCUCACCCCACUGCUAGGUAAUAGCUAGUAUUGUCUUCGCUGCAGGGCAUUUUACAGUAAAAUUUUGAAGUAUAUUGAAAAAAGUUACCAGUUCACUUACUAUACAAUAGCUUGGAAUGUGAAUGUCUGAAAGAAGAAAAAUUCAAUAAAUGACUAUGUAGUUAUUUGGUGGAAUUCACAACAUAAUAACAAGAAAAGGUUUUCAGCUUUGAUCAUAAUGGAAAUGAGUCAUUUAAUUUUACCCUCAGUCCUGGUACACAGUUUCAGCACCUGCUAAGAAGUCGGCUUGCAUUUAAAUGACUUAGGCAAUUAUUAAAAGCAAGUUUCAAGAAAUAAAUGGCAUUUAUAUAAAAAGGAGACUGGGCUCAAACUGCUAGUGCUUUAAAUUUCCAUAAAAGCAAAUUCAAGUUCAGAACAGGAUUCAGGAUUUAGUAACAAUUCAAAGGUUUUCAAUCCCUUAAUCUCUUUGUGAUAACUAUAUUCAUCAUGUAGCCAUUUUUAAAAGGAAGAGAAUAAAAAUGUUAACAUUGAUGUCUACCAGCACUUGUGACUGAAAAAUUGAUUAUAUAUGGUAAAUACUUAUGGCUCCAAAUAGCUAUUUGAUUUAUAAUUUUGGUAUUGAAAUGUAAUGAAAUACUUCUAUUGUAUUUGCAAUCGCUGGAAGAGUAGUAUGAAUCAUACUUCAAAUAAAAAUGCUUCUUUUUA